CCUACGGGAGGCAGCAGUAGGGAAUCUUCCACAAUGGACGAAAGUCUGAUGGAGCAACGCCGCGUGAGUGAAGAAGGGUUUCGGCUCGUAAAGCUCUGUUGGUAGGGAAGAAAGAGAUAGGUAGUAACUGGCCUUUAUUUGACGGUAAUUACUUAGAAAGUCACGGCUAACUACGUGCCAGCAGCCGCGGUAAUACGGAGGUGGCAAGCGUUGUUCGGAUUUACUGGGCGUAAAGCGAAUGCAGGCGGUUCAAUAAGUCUGAUGUGAAAGCCUUGGGCUUAACCGGAGAAUUGCAUCAGAAACUGUUUAGCUUGAGUGCAGAAGAGGGGAGUGGAACUCCAUGUGUAGCGGUGGAAUGCGGAGAUAUAUGGAAGAACACCAGUGGCGAAGGCGGCUCUCUGGUCUGCAACUGACGCUGAGGUUCGAAAGCAUGGGUAGCGAACAGGAUUAGAUACCCUUGUAGUC
rnacentral:rRNA from 1 species